GGCCAAGUUUGCACAUUCAGAGCACAUCGAUUUGAAUGAAAAUAGAUCCGACUGAAUGAAAUUGGAUCAUUAAUCGAAUAAUAUUUUUUAAAUGUAUUAAUAGGAUCCUUCCCCUAUGUUUUUAAGACGAGUAAGAUACAUUUUUUUAAACGAACCUAAAGUAACGAGUAAGGAGGCUAUUCGGAAAACAAACAUUUGUGAGGUCCUUAAUGAAAGGUGUGUUUUGUGUUCCUGCCAAGGUGCUUUACUCACAAUAGAAUGAAACUGUUGAAAAGAAGAGGGAGUGCCUCCUCAGGGCACUUUGUAUCUAUCUAAAUGAAGAUCCAAGCAGUCUCUUCCAAGAAUAUCUGGAUUCAGAUGGCUGUGCUGCCCAGAGAGACCUUGAACAAGUUGUCUUUGGCAUCUACAGCGUUAAUACUGAGGGAGGAGAUGCC